CAACUCAUUAACCAAGUAGAUGUCUAAGACCUGCAGUUGAUGAGCUUCCUGAGCUUCCUAAUGAUGUAUAAUGAGUCUGGUAAUUCAAUGAGAGCUGCUCUCUUUUAUAAAAGAAAUGCCACCGUCGGAUGAAGUCUACCUCCCCAAAAGUUAAUGCAUCCUGCCCAGUGUAACGGUACAACAAUGUCUUCUCCAGCAAAAGGCCAGCUGCAGACACACCAUCAUCAGAUGAAGUCCACCUCUCCAUCAGAAGUAGAUGCAUGAAGCCCACCAUCAAGAUUCAAGGAUGUCUUCAUCAACAGGCUAGACUUGUACAGACACGUCAUUGUCAGAUGAAGUCUACCUCUCCAGAAGUAGAUGUAAUAUGUAUGAUGGGCAUGCUGCCUUGUGUCACGGUACAAUGAUGUAUUCUCCAGCAACAGGCUAGCUGCGGACAUACUUAAUGUCAGAUGAAGUCUACCUCUCAAGAAGUAGAUACAUGAAGCCUACCA